rnacentral:rRNA from 1 species
UCGGUGACAGGUGGUGCAUGGUUGUCGUCAGCUCGUGUCGUGAGAUGUUGGUUAAGUCCCGCAACCGAGCGCGAACCCCUAUUGUUAGUUGCCAUCAUUCAGUUGGGCACUCUAGCGAGACUGCCGGUAAUAAACCGGAGGAAGGUGGGGAUGACGUCAAAUCAUCAUGCCCCUUAUGACCUGGGCUACACACGUGCUACAAUGGUUGGUACAACGAGUUGCGAGUCGGUGACGGCGAGCUAAUCUCUUAAAGCCAAUCUCAGUUCGGAUUGUAGGCUGCAACUCGCCUACAUGAAGUCGGAAUCGCUAGUAAUCGCGGAUCAGCACGCCGCGGUGAAUACGUUCCCGGGCCUU